GAACGCCGUAUGCUGGAAACUCGCCUGUACGGUGUGAAGUGGGGGAAAAGCUGGAGAUAACUUCAAAAGCUUACCUAUCACUAU
rfam:Bacillus megaterium class II transposon tnpA, tnpR and iepA genes, complete cds.